GUGAAGAACCAAAACCGAACCAAAGUAUCAAAAUAAAUUCGGUUCGGUACGGUUCCUGUCAAUUCGAUACGGUUCUUUGGUUCGGUUCGGUUCCCCCAAGAGCCGUGCACAGUCCUAGUGACAAUGGCUAAAUGGUGAUAAUAGUAGUCAAGUGGUGGUGAUUGUAGUAGUGAUAGUGGUUGUAGUAUUAUGAUAGUGGUGGUAGUGGUG
rnacentral:misc_RNA from 1 species